rnacentral:SRP_RNA from 1 species
GCCGGGCACAGUGGCGCGUGCCUGUAAUCCUGCUGUUUGGGAGGCUAAGGCUGAGGGAUUGCUUGAGUCUGGGAGUUCUAGUCUGCCCUGAGCCAUGUUGAUCGGGUGUCCGCACUAAGUUCAGUAUCAAUAUGGUGUUCCUGGGGGAGCUUGGGAUCACCAGGUUGUCUAAAGAGGGGUGAACCGAUCCAGGUCGGUAACGGAGCAGGUCAAAGCCCCCAUGCUGAUCAGUAGUGGGAUAGUGCCUGUAGUGGUAGUGGUCAGUGCAGAGUAGCCUGGGUGAUACAGUGAGACACAGUCUUUU